rnacentral:lncRNA from 1 species
CGGUCCACAUCGGAAGAAUCAACAUUUCUCACGCUUCCAACGGCAAAAGGAUUCUUCCGGGUUCUAUUGUUCAUAAUUGUCAUAUUUGCUUUUUAGAGCUUUACUUUUCCUUUGUAAACUCUUUCAUUGUGGUGCUUGUUCCAGUCAAGGGACUUGGAACAAGGGAAAGGCGUCCCAAGCCUAAGUGAAAUUGGGGGUUUUAGGGUUUGUUGUGAGCCCGGUGUAAAACAACGAGUUGGGUAGUGAACUCGCAAAACUACCGUACUGUAAUCUUGGAUUAUAGUGGAAAUUUCCAAAGGUGAUUUGGGGAGUGGAUGUAGGAGCAGUGGAAGCUCCGAACCACUAUAAAAUCUUAUGUUUGCGAUUGACCUUUCUCAUUCCUCCUUCUUUACUUUAGUGCAUAUAUUCGUGUGUUUUAUUUUUAAUUAGUCAAAAGUUUUUAAAACACCCAAUUCACCCCCUCUUGGGUGACCAUCUCUGGGCA